UACGUAGGGGUCUAGCGUUGUCCGGAAUUAUUGGGCGUAAAGAGCUCGUAGGCGGUUCGGCAAGUCGGAUGUGAAAUCUCCACGCUUAACGUGGAGGGGCCAUUCGAAACUGCCGUGACUCGAGUCCGGUAGGGGAGUUCGGAAUUCCCGGUGUAGCGGUGAAAUGCGCAGAUAUCGGGAGGAACACCAGUGGCGAAGGCGACUACCUGGCCUGUUCUUGACGCUGAGGCGCGAAAGCUAGGGGAGCAAACGGG
rnacentral:rRNA from 1 species